GUCAAACAUUUCGGGGAUGAUUUCGCCCACACUAUUACAUCUCCAAUUAUACUCUCAUUGACCAUACAAAACUAUGCGAAUGCAAAAUUAGUUCAGAUGUUAAAAACAUUUAUUUAAUUAUAUAUUUGUUAAUUAAAUGCUGGAUGUGUUGGAAUGUAGGAGGAAGAUUAGGUUUAAUAAAGAAAUUGUGUUGAAACGCGGGAGAGAAAAGGAAAAAGCCAAGAAAGAAAGAAAUAACGCAGAGAGAGAUAGAGAGAGAUAGAGAGCGAAGUCGCGGUCCUCUGAUCCAUUCCUUUGCGUAAAAGAUGAAGAGGUCUCUGAGAAAGUUGGGAGUUCUGACGUUAGAGAAGCAUCACCACCAUCGUGACCGCUCUAACAUUCUGCCUUUGUCCCAGUUAGAGGACCUCGCUCAGGCUACCCAGGACAUGGAAGACAUGAGAGACUGCUACGAUAGCUUGCUUUCCGCGGCUGCCGCUGCCGCCAACAGUGCUUAUGAAUUCUCAGAGUCCUUGGGAGAAUUGGGCUCUUGCCUUCUUCAGAACACCGCCUUGCAUGACGAUGAAGAAAGCGGCAAAGUUCUCAUAAUGCUCGGUAAAAUGCAGUUUCAACUCCAGAAGCUCAUUGAUAAAUAUCGCUCUCAUAUUACCCAGACAAUUACCGUUCCCUCGGAUUCUCUUCUCAAUGAACUUCGAAUUGUUGAGGAGAUGAAGAGACAUUGUGACGAAAAAAGAGUUGUAUAUGAGUCCAUGUUAACAAGAUAUAGAGAAAGAGGUAGGUCUAGAAGCGGAAGAGCAGAGACUAUUUCCUUGCAGCAGUUACAAAUUGCUCGUGAUGAAUAUGAUGAGGAGGCCACCUUAUUUGUUUUCCGCUUGAAAUCUCUGAAGCAAGGUCAAUCGUGGAGCCUUCUAACACAGGCAGCACGUCACCAUGCAGCUCAGUUGUGUUUCUUCAAGACAGCAGUUAAAUCUCUUGAGACAGCAGAGCCGCACGUAAAAUUAGUAACAGAACAACAUCACAUUGAUUACCACUUCAUUGGUAUUGAAGGGGAGGACGAGGACGAAGAUGAAGAUGAAGAUGAGGAUGAGGAUGAAGAUGGUGACAGCCAUGAUCAGAAUGAUGAUGGGGAGCUGAGUUUUGACUAUACACAAAAUGAACACGAGCAAGAUGUUUCUACAUUAGACAACUCAAAGAAGGAAAACUUGGAUAAGCUUCGCAGGAAUUCAUUCUCCUUCAGGGCUAGGUCAGCGAGCCAAUCUGCCCCACUUUUAGCUGAUGAUAAAUGUGAUUCUAGAGAAAGGUUGAGACAGAUGCGGCCAACUUUAUCACGGAAGUUCAAUUCAUAUGUGCUGCCUACACCAGUUGAUGCAAAGAGUUCCGUAUCUCCGACAUCAAGUAAGCAAGUACCUUCCAAAAUAAAGGCAAAUUUAGAUGAGCCUAUGAAGAAUUUGUGGCAUUCAUCCCCACUGGAACAGAAGAAAUAUGGAAAAACUUCUGGGGAUGGGGCAUUUUCUGGUCCGAAUGUUAGGACUGCGCAGUCUGUAGUCAAGGAGAGUAAUACCAAUACUGCGUACACUAGAUUGCCACCUCCUUUAAUUGAUGGUAAUUUAUCCUCAAAUCAUGACUUUGUUACUGCUUACUCUAAAAAGAUUAAAAGACAAGCCUUUUCUGGUCCAUUGGUAAGUAAUGCUUGGCCAACCAAGCCUGUUUCCGUAGAGAGUGUCCAGUUGUUUUCUGGACCUCUUUUACGGACAUCAAUUCCUCAGUUUCCAACAUCAUCAUCUCCAAAAGUAUCUCCUAGUGCUUCUCCCCCUCUUUCAUCUUCACCAAAAAUAAAUGAGCUUCAUGAACUUCCAAGGCCUCCAACCAUUUCCGCAACCAAUUCUAAGCUUUUAGGUUUGGUGGGUCAUUCAGGUCCAUUGGUGUCCCGAGGUCACCAGCUUUCUGCUCGAAAUAAUUUGGUUACAUCAAAUGCAGCAUCUCCCUUGCCAAUGCCUCCUUCAGCAAUGGCUCGAAGUUUCUCCAUACCUUCUAGCAGUGCUAAAGUUACAGCAUUAGAUGGGUCAAGACCUCCAGAAGACCCCAACAGAUCAUCAACAUCCGAGUAUGUUGAUUCUCCUCCUCCGUUGUACAUUGCUUCAUCUACUAGUUAGCCAUCGUGAGACGGCUGUCACACUGUUGCUCGGGUUGCCUUGUCUGAAGGGAUGUACAUGCUUAUAUUAAUAAUAUUCAAUGGCCCAGGUAUGGUACUUAAGCAGAUUAACUGUUUUUAAGAAGGUAUGCUCUAUUCAAUAUCGUGAGGGUCAAGUUUUGUUUCUCAUAGUUUGGUACGGUUGCAAAUCUGUAAAUAUUCCUCUAUAAUUCUUUUUCUGUCGUUAUUAUUGUUAAUUCACCCAGCAAUGGGAGCGAUUAUUCUGUUUUUUAUUUUUAGUGAAAUAAAUGACCAUGUAUUGAGCUAUCGAAUUUUUCAUUUAAGCAAACUAUUUAGCUCCUUAA